rnacentral:rRNA from 1 species
ACGUAGGGGGCAAGCGUUAUCCGGAUUUACUGGGUGUAAAGGGUGCGUAGGUGGCAAGGCAAGUCAGAUGUGAAAGCCCGGGGCUCAACCCCGGUACUGCAUUUGAAACUGUCUGGCUAGAGUGCAGGAGAGGUAAGCGGAAUUCCUAGUGUAGCGGUGAAAUGCGUAGAUAUUAGGAGGAACACCAGUGGCGAAGGCGGCUUACUGGACUGUAACUGACACUGAGGCACGAAAGCGUGGGGAGCAAACAG